UUUUUUGAAGAUCGGGUGUCUGCCAUCUACGUCCGGCAGUUCUCUUUCGCAGCUGCCGGCGGACACCGCACAGACGAUAUUUCGAUUAGUGUGCAAAAGAGCCAGUC
rnacentral:sRNA from 12 species